GGGGUCAACACCUUCAAUGUGGAGGGCAAGACACCGGCGGAUGUCCACAAGAUACUGGUGCAGGCGGAGGGCACCAUGACCUUCAGGCUGCUCCCGGCCAGCAGCUCGGUGCACCUCAGGGAGAGCAAGGUGAGGGUGCACGCCUACUUCCACUAUGACCCCAAGGAGGACACCAAGCACAUUCCCUGCAAGGAAGCCGGGCUGCCCUUCAACAAGCUGGACAUCCUGCACAUUGUGACCCAGGAUGACCCCUACUGACAGUGUUUGACCGUGUGGACGGACCCUGACGGUUGCUGUGAUGUGCAGGCGAUGGCUUGGUGACGCAGGGCAUGGAGGACACAGCGUUGCAGUGGCUCAGCGAACGCCUCGGCCACCCAGACAACUUCACUUCUGUGAUAUUCCUGCCCAG